rnacentral:lncRNA from 1 species
GGUUCUCCUGCCUCAGACUCCCAAGUAGCUGGGACCCAGAUGUGUGCCACCACACCUGGCUAAUUAUUAUUAUUAUUAUUGUUGUAGAGACAGGGUCUCACCAUCUUGCCCAGACUGGUCUUGGACUCUUGGCCUCAGGCGAUCCUCCUACCUUGGCCUCCCAAAGUGCUGGAAUUACAGGUUGAGGAGGCCUGGGGAAACUCAGCUUACAGCCAUAUUUGUACUAGAAGAUUUUCGGUACAACUGGAGGGCAACAAUAUAUAUCAUCAUGCUGCUGAACAUGCAGGUGUCUUAGAAUUUGGUAUGCUAAAAGAACUUUUGAAACAUGUAUUAAUUGGCACAUUACUGUUUUGAAGUUUAGCAGUGUUAUAUAUAUUUUCUUAGGUUUUGUGUUUGAAAAUAGAAUUCAUAAAAUAUGAGUAAAUUAAAAGCAUAUGUGAACAACUUUUAAUACUUACAUAUUAUUACUUCUCAUCUCAUUGAGUAGAGAAGGCUUUGAGGAAG